rnacentral:rRNA from 1 species
GAGGUUGGCUUAGAAGCAGCCAUCCUUGAAAGAGUGCGUAAUAGCUCACUGGUCGAGUGGUUCUGCGCCGAUAAUGUAGCGGGGCUUAAGUACACCGCCGAAACCGCGGCAACACAUGUAAAGGUGUGUUGGGUAGGGGAGCGUCGUGCAUGUGUUGAAGCUACUUGGUGACAGGUGGUGGAGUGUGUGCGAGUGAGAAUGCAGGCAUGAGUAACGAUUGAUGUGUGAGAAACAUAUCCGCCGGAUGACUAAGGGUUCCUGGGUGAAGUUUGUCUUCCCAGGGUGAGUCGGGGCCUAAGGCGAGGCCGACAGGCGUAGUCGAUGGAUGACGGGUUGAUAUUCCCGUACCCGUGUGCGUGCGACAAGUGAUGAAUCUUAUGGUACUAACCGCCCGCUUGUUUCUGCUGAUCUUUUUGGUUGGUGGUUGCAGGUGCGUGGGAUCUUCGUGGGUAGUAGUCAAGUGAUGGGGUGACGCAGAGUGGUAGCUAGGCUUCCUUAUUGGAUUGGAGUGCAAGCGUGUGGCCUGUGGGGUUGGGAAAUCCGCCCCACAUGAGGGUGAGGCGUGAUGCGGACACCAUUUGUGGUGGUAGUUAGUGUGCCUGUGCUGUCUAGAAAAGCCUCUAGCGAGUGCGUGCAUGGCCCGUACCGGAAACCGACACAGGUGGUCAGGUAGAGAAUACUAAGGCGUUCGGGUGAACUGUGGUUAAGGAACUCGGCAAAAUGCCCCCGUAACUUCGGGAGAAGGGGGACCAUUACUGGUUGCUGACAGCAUUUUAGCUGGUGGUGGUCGCAGAGGAGAGAGGGAAGCGACUGUUUAUUAAAAACACAGGUCCGUGCGAAAACGUGGAAGUUGAGGUAUACGGACUGACGCCUGCCCGGUGCUGGAAGGUUAAGAGGACCCGUGAGCAUGCCUUUAUGUGUGCGAGGCGGAGAAUUGAAGCCCCAGUAAACGGCGGUGGUAACUAUAACCAUCCUAAGGUAGCGAAAUUCCUUGUCGGGUAAGUUCCGACCUGCACGAAUGGCGUAACGACUUCCCUGCUGUCUCAACCACAGGCCCGGUGAAAUUGCAGUACGAGUAAAGAUGCUCGUUUCGCGCGGCAGGACGAAAAGACCCCGGGACCUUUACUAUAGCUUGGUAUUGGUGUUUGGUCAUGCUUGUGUAGGAUAGGUGGGAGACUGUGAAACCAUAACGCUAGUUGUGGUGGAGUCGCAGGUGAAAUACCACUCUGGUGUGAUUGGGUACCUGAACCUUGGCCCGUGAUCCGGGUUGGGGACAGUGCCUGGUGGGUAGUUUAACUGGGGCGGUUGCCUCCUAAAUGGUAACGGAGGCGCCCAAAGGUUUCCUCAGUCUGGUUGGCAAUCAGAUGGUGAGUGUAAGUGUAUAAGGGAGCUUGACUGUGACACUGACGGGUGGAGCAGGUGCGAAAGCAGGGACUAGUGAUCCGGCAUCUACGUGUGGUUGUGGUGUCGCUCAACGGAUAAAAGGUACCCCGGGGAUAACAGGCUGAUCUUCCCCAAGAGUUCAUAUCGACGGGAUGGUUUGGCACCUCGAUGUCGGCUCGUCGCAUCCUGGGGCUGGAGUAGGUCCCAAGGGUUGGGCUGUUCGCCCAUUAAAGCGGCACGCGAGCUGGGUUUAGAACGUCGUGAGACAGUUCGGUCUCUAUCCGCCGCGCGCGUUGAAACUUGAAGAAGGCUGUCCCUAGUACGAGAGGACCGGGAUGGACGUACCUCUGGUAUGCCAGUUGUCACGCCAGUGGCAUGGCUGGUUAGCUACGUGCGGGAGGGAUAACCGCUGAAAGCAUCUAAGCGGGAAGCCUGUUUUGA